ncrna:Streptomyces sp. AA1529 L17-Actino-Proteobacteria ribosomal protein leader
CCCGGUACCUCGCACGGCCGGGACUGCCUCCGGUGCCUGACACGGCCGGUGCAG